UUUGUGGAGAGUAGAGGUUGAUCCUAGAGUCACAAGGAGCUUUUCUUCUCUACCUGAUGGACAGGAGCUUUUAUCCAAAAGGCCUGGAAUCUGCUUUAAAACUCUUCCAUGACUUUUCAUCAAACAAAGAAAUUGCGAACAUGCUAAUCCUGAUAUGGAUGCAAGACUCCAGAUGUCAUUGCCAUUAGCUUGAUUCCCAUAUAAGAUUGGCAUUUAUUUAUUUAUGCAUGCGUCCAUGUUGCUAUAGUGUCUAGUGGAUCAGGGUCCGAUGGCACAAGGCACUGUAUAAACGCAUAACAAAGAGCUUACAGUAUAAAUAAAUAUUCUAGGCUCUGACAAGCUUGUAGAAUGACACCCUGAGAUAGAGGAUGGCCAUGGAAUGUUGUGUCUAGAAAAGUACAAUUCUCCUUUAAAAUAAGGAAUAUCCUUUGUGAGUACAAGGUUCAGGAGCCCAGGGAGCUUUCUUGGACCAGCAGCAACAGAUAAUUUUUCUGUUGUCAUCAGCCUUUUAUAAGAAGUGAUAGGUUGGUUCUGUUGUCUUUUUUAAAAGAAAACAACAUUGAGAAUUUAGGCCUAGAUUUUCCUUUCUAUUUAAGGCCAGGUUGGGCUGCAAUACUACACAGCACAAAGUAGCCUUAUACCAUCCAGAGCGGUGUUUCUCAACCAGGUUACAUAUACCACUGGGGUGCAUGGAUGUCUUCUAAGGGGUACAUCAACUCACAUAGAUAUUUGCCUAGUUUUACAAUAGGCUACAUAAAAAGCACUGGCAAAGUCAGUACAAACUGUGACUUUAUACUGCUCUAUAUAUUAUACACUGAAAUACUCCUGGAUUCCUGUUGAUGCUAGGCUCUCACGGCAACAUGUGUGAGUAACACUUUCUACCAUCUCUAGUUGGCUAGGAGACUCUGUCCCAUCCUGGAGGAUGAUGACCUGGCCUCAGUUAUACACACCUUUGUCACCUCUUGGCAGGACUGCAACUAAGCAAUACACCUGGGCAUAAAGGCUUCAGCGCUUAGGAAACUCCAACUAGUACAGAAUAUUACAGAGCAGGGGGUGACCAAACUGCGGCUCGCGAGCUGCACGCUGCUCUUUUACAGUUAAAGUGUGGCUCAUGGAGAGGGGAGAGCUAGGGGCUUCUGCCCAGCAGGGAGGGGGCACCUGCUGGGGCUUGAGCCCCGCCACUCCCAUCCCCACAGGACUGAAGCCCUGAACCCUAGCAGGCAUCUCCCGCAGGGCUGAAGCCCCAAGACCCCUCUCCCGACAAGGCUGGACCCUGAGCCCUAGCAGGUGCCUCCGACAGGGCAGAAGCCCCUUGCCCCACCACACUGCCACAGGGUUGAAGGCUCCGUGAGGCACAGCUCUCAAACUUCUGAAGAUUGUCAUAUGCAGCUCAGAGGGUCAGAAAGUUUGAUCACCCAUUCUACAGAGCAUCUUCUCAGCAACACAGGUUAUUGUGAGCAUAUCUAACUUGUCCUCUGCUCUCUACAAUGGCUUCCCAUGGACUGUCGAAUCAAAGUCUAGGUCCGUAUCUUCAAGGGACUCCAUGGCCUGGACACAGCUAAUAGAACACCUAAAGCUCCAGGAUGAAGAUUAUGGCUAACAGUUUUGCUCCUCUGGCACAAUGGAAUCUGCCAAAGCUCAUCUUUGCAUGAGAGAGAACUUUUUCAUGGGCGGUUCAAGAUUGUGGAAUGAACUCCCACAGGAACUAAGGACCAUCACAAACCUCACUAUCUUCUGCUCCAAGUACAAGGCACAAUGCUCUGUCCUUGCCUUCUGUAACAAAAAUACUUAGCUCAGAAUAUUUUUUUGAAACCAAAAACCUACCAAAACAAGACACGCUACUUCAUACUCCUCUCCCCUGGGGAUAGAGCGAGAGAACAAAGAGCAUGUGACAAAUGUUGGUCACAUUGACUAAGACACUCAGAUACUACGGUGAUCAUAGUAUUAGAUCCUGUAUAGAACAGAAGAAUGUGUGGUAGAGCUUAUAUCUGCUACACCUAGUUUCUGUUGGGGCACGUGGCAUUGUAAGGAGUUUAAGUUAGAGCAGUCAGGGUACUGCUCUAACUUGUGCAGAAGCUGGACUCUGGAUCUCUGCAGCCACCCUUCUCCAUUAUAUCUGCGGGUGGAUGUAGCUGAAAAUCAGAGACUUCAAAUGCAAAACUAAAAACUAAAAUAGAACCCUAAAAAAAUCAAAGUUUUUUUCAUGGGGGGGAGGGGAAACAGGACAGUUUCACUGUAGCCAUUAAUUCCUGUUGAUACUAAACUCUCACUUAGCAGCUUCUGUGAGUAAUGUUUCCAAGGACGAGGCCCUUGAGCAAACAAGUACUUGUGUAUACUUGCCACUUUACCACAAUUUUGCAAGCAAAUAAGUUUACUCGUCCACCCGUUUUUGCAUGCAGUUGUGGUAAAUGUAGAUAAUUGCAGUCAUAGUUAUGGUAAAUGCAUGUGUAGAAGUAACCAGGCAAAUAUACAUACAUUUUUCAGUGAACAAGUGGAUCUCUACUCACUGAAAAUGUCUCUUGUUAAUUUGUUCUGGAUUUCUUCUAGGCAGUCAGUUUAUACACUGUGCUACUGGUUCCACCUCCUCCCAGAAGAAAAGAAACCUUUCCAAAUAAACUUGUGAAUUGACACAUAGAUAUUAUGGUGAUGGGCAGAUCACAAAUGCCUAGAUGGAGUUCUGGUUAGUUCCCUUCUAGCUGAAAUUCAUAUAGUAGGAAAAUACUCAUUUCAUUAAAUAAGGAGCAUUGUGAAUACAGUUGCUACAUAAUGCAGCCAUGAAUUCCAGUCUGUGCCCCAUCAGCUUCCAGUUUUAAAAAAUAAAUAGGUGCACUCCUCCAACAAAUACAACUGGCAUAGACGGCAAGCAUGGAUCAGAGCUGGCAUAUUUCUUAACACAUCUGAUGCUUUCAUUCAUUAAUGAAUGUUUCCAAUAAAUAAAAUAUCACAAUUUCAGAUAUCCAUAUUUUAUCAAGAUGGAAUGAAAGUGGAAACAAGGCAGUAAAGAAUAUUGAUGUGUGCUAACAUGGGCCCAAAUAAUAUAUGCGGUUAACCAUACUCUUUAGGAGGAUGUGGUAAAGAUCUAAUAAGGUCACGAUUAGUGCAUAUUAGUGGUAAGCUGCAUUGCUGUAUUUACUUUGUUGCUUUCUUUUCAGUUUGAAUGUAAGAGACCAUUACUUUAUAAGUUCCACUUACUGCAGAACUGAAAAGGCAUAUCCUUCAUCAUGAUCUUAAAGCUGAUCUAAAAGGCUUUUUACCUUCCAAGACCUUAGUGGUGGGCUUUGAUUCUUCUAUUUAGAGGUAUUGACUUUGAUGACGCUUCAAGCAAGGAAUUACAUUCCUUUAACUUCUUGAGUAGUUAGUGUUGCUGCCAACUGGCAGAAAACCAGAGUCCUGAAUUCUGGAACUGAUGGGUAAAUAGAAGUUAUGAUUUUGUUUGGAAUUGUAAAAUGUUUGUUGAUAAUGCACAUUUUAUUGAGGUAGGAUCUCAAACUUUUAAACACUUUUAAAAUAUUACCGUUUACUUUUCAGAAUGGUUUUCAGUUUGAACAAAUGCAAUAGCAGCCCAGAUGUCAUGGUUUCUGCAGUGGCUUCUUUCCGGGGGGGGGGGGGGGGGGGGGGAGAGUAGCCUGGGAAACUACACAAAGAUCCAAGAGGAUCUCAAGAAAUCUGCUGUGUAAAGGGCUGAGUCCUCUGCUUUUUCUGGAGAGUGGCAGAAUCAUGGAAAGAUUAGGAGGAAACUACAUGAGCUGAAACUAGUGAAUUUUCUUACCUCUUACAGAGAUUUUCCCUUUCUCCCUGAGGAGAAUUUAGCCCCAAAUUAUUUUAUGAUAGUUCAGUAGAAUGUACAUUAAAGAAAAGAGGAAAGAAUUGAGGUGCAGCAUCUGAAGUGUGUUUCAUUUCUGUUGCAGGCGAGGUUCAUAAAGUGAGGCAGUGAAUUGUUCCUAUAGUGUAUUAUGUGUUCCUUUUUUUUCUGCUUGCUAGUGAAGUGCUGCAGAAAGGACCUGGACCACUUGGCACAGCAAAUGAGCUUCUUAAAAAUAUAUUUUAAUGAAUAAUAGAUACUCAGCAUGAGCCAUUAUUGUUUGAGCUAACAGAUAGCUAGGAUUGUAAAUGUCUAUAUAGUCUAGUCACUAGAGAGAACAGAGAACCACACUGAGUAAGCAUGGGUUACACCUAUGUUUCAAUUUUGAUAAGGAGGAGGAAAGAAUGUUUUGAGCAACCAUCAACUAUAUGACAGAAGAGGUCACUUUCAUGGAAAGAGAUGUAAUCAAACAUAUAGCAACUAAGAGUUUCAUUAUUUUAAGCAGGGGGAGAAAUUAUUGAAACCUUUUUGCCAACGUUUAUCCGUUUCAAUUAUUUUUGAUGGUAUGUAUUCCAUGUAUGUUUUAGCUACAGUACCUUUAUAUCGACAGUUGGUAGCACAAGUCUUUUAAAGCACAAAGAGUAGCAGCUCUUCAGCCAAUCUGUGAUAAAAGAGAAAAAAAUGAAAUCACUAUGGAAACUGCAGGAAGAAUCUAAAAGCUUUCUUUAUAAAGUAAAUGUCUGAUGUUUGUGACUGCAGGGGCACAAAAUUCAUAAACCUGUAUGAUGCUAUCACUUCUGAUUUGUUAUCUCAGCAAAUGCCAAGUCUAAGCAGCCUGACCUUAGCUUUAUUAAGAGCUUCCUUUUUAGAAAUAGUUACUAUUCAACAAUGGAAAGACUGCAGUGCUGCAAGUGGGGGAAACUAAUUUGUUUAAAAUGUGGCUUUAAAAAAAAUCACACAGACCUCAAGGCUUAGAGAGUCAGGAACACUGUGAGGUUUUUAGUAAUGCAGCAACUAAGGGAGCUGAAUGCAAUUCAGAAAACUUAUGUUUCAUUUCCAUUACAUGCCUGUAUUUGAUCUCAAAUUGAAAAUCUCUGACCUUCCUCCUCCAAUCCAGAAGCAAAUAAAUACUAAAGAAAAGGAAACCCCCUCUUCUUUCAGCACACAGGGCCUCUAAGACUGAAAAAUGAAGGUGACUGCUACUAUGAACCUGUUUGGACACCAGACAGCAACAAAUACCUGUCUCAGUGAAGGAGUUUAAGAGCACUGCAGAGAUCUUCAGGCGUGCAGAGUAUCUUGGCUUACACAGGCCACGGUCUUUAUUUCAAAACAGUACUAGUCGUGGUUUCUCUGCACCUGCAACUGAAGAACUAGAGGAACAGGAGGACAGCAGUAAAUCUUCUAAUCCAAAACUCUUCAUGUCACAGAAAAUACCCUGAAGCCUAAGCAGGAUGAGACUCUUGAUUCAGAGGAGGAGAACAGCAUACGGCACAAUGAAGCUACAAGAGAAGCUCUGACCGUUUUGUUUUUUUUCCCCUUCAUCAAGCUACUGUACACAUGGCCUUUCAAGAUGAGCAACUCCCAUAGAACAUCACUUACUGCGGAAGAAUCUUUGGCUGACCUCAUUGAGGUGAAUGAAGAAUAUGGCAGAUGAAAUGAGAAUGAGGGGAUUAUGCAUCUGAAAACCAAGGACAUCCAGUUAAAGCUCAUUUUAUUUUAAUCUUCCAUGUGGAUGAUUGAUCAUACCCGCCAGCUGGCUAAUAUCAUAAUUAACAAAGUUACUACCACAUCUGAGAAGUAUAAUCGAAAAAUUUACCAGCAGUGUGAUGCCAUUGUCACAAAGAUCAUAAGCAUUACAGAGUCGACUUUUGCAAUCGUGGAGCUGCAGAACUAUGUAGAUGUGCUGAGAAGGGGUGCACUUGUACAGCUAAAGUGAGAUGCAGUUGCAGAAAGAGAAAGAUUUAGUUCUGGCAAAACUAGUCCAGUGGCAAAGUGCAGAACUGAUGUGGCUGUCAUGGUAAAGGAAUUCCAGAAUAAAGAACCACUGUCCGAAGCUAAUCUUUACACCUGGGAGUUAGAUGGUAUCAAUGGAAAAAAAUGGGAACUCAUUAAAGAGAAAACAUUAAUCAAGCAGAAGGAAGUUCUUUCAGAGACAGAUCAAAUCAGCUGUUUUGAUGAAAUACAGUGUAUGUCAAUGUAAAGGAACUAUUUGAGAGACUAUGGACAACUGCUGUUCAGUUUAACAUUAUAUGACAAGUGGGUGAAUGUCCCUCUCUUACAAGUCAAUGCAGAGGAAGUGGAAAAGAGGUUCAGAAUUUAUGGAAGACUAGCUACAAACUGACAAAGGUAUUUUGUCAACUAGACUUGCAUAGCCUUUUGAAAGUGCCCACAACUAUGAAAACAAAAGCUGAAAAAAUUUAAAAUCAACAUGUCACUUAUUAAAGCUCUGUGUACACCUGGGAUUUAGCCAAGACCCUGGAAUAUGAUGAGUCAAAAGGUUCUGCUGGAGGAUCACAUUGUGAAAACUACGGCCAUGAAAGGCCCUCCAUUUAUUGCACCCUUCAAAAACGAAAUAUUAGCAUGGGAGGCUAAGCUGUGCCACUAAUGCAGGAGAUUAUGGAAACCUGGCUGCAAGUUCAAAAGGCCCUGGUGACCAUUCAUUGCUCACAAGAUACAUGUAACCAAAUAUCAGUAGAAGGAAAGAACUUUGAAGUUAUCAGUAGGAACUGGAGGCUAAUAAUGAAGGAGUCAGUGAAGGAGGCCAAUGGCAUGAGGGUUAUCUCACAGUCCCAGAUGCUGGAUAAGUUGAAGGAGGCAGAAUCGCUUUUGGAUGACAUUCAGAAAGUCCUGAAUGAUUAUUUGGAGAAGAAAAGACUAUUCUUUCUAAGGUUUUUUCUUUCUGUGCCACGAUGAGCUCUUAGAAAUCCUUUCUGAGACAAAGGAUCCACUCCAAGACCAACCACACCUAAAUAAAUGCUUUGAAGGAAUUGCCAAGAUCACUUUUAAUCAAGAGAAAGAAAUUACUCACAUGGAGUCAGCAGAAAAUGAAAAAGUAGAACUCGUGCUGUGAAUAAUUCCAGCAAGUGCCAAGGGGCUAGUUGAGAAAUGGCUUCAUGAGGUGAAUAUCUUUAGCUCUUACUUAGGGUUUAGCUACUGUAUAAUCAUUUUCUCUUUUAGGAGCAAGGAAUAUCAUAAGCAUAUUUCCUAACUAAAUAGCUGUCUGAGAACUUAUCAGAUUAUUUAACAGAUUGAAUAUCAGCCUUAUUGUUAUUAUUUAUUACACCUAAUUGGCACGUGCAAACAUGCAAAAAUUAAUUUUAAUAAAGAGGUUAUCAGUGUGUGAGACAGUUAAUAAAAAAGUGUGUGUGUCUGAAAGCACAUAUGUGACUAUAUGUUCAAAUCUAUGUAUAUGUAUUUUUGUUGUCUUCUCCCUGUAAUUUUUAUCGUUUGGAAAGAGAGAUUUUUUUACAAAGCAGUUUAAAGGAACGUGAAGAGAUUUUUUUGCACACCCUCCUUCCCCCAAAAAUCUUAAUUUUCAAUACAUAUUGAGCAAAGGGAAGAGAAAUAUUUAAUUAACAAUAUACUAACCUUUCCCCUUUGGGCCUAUGAUCCAAAUUAAUCCGUUUCAGUGUGAAAUUAGUUCGAUGACCUUUUUUGUUUGCUUUAUUUUUACCUUCCUCUGUUACACGAUCAAAGUGGAUCCUUCCUCUGAUAUACAAUUCUAGGCCAAGUCCACUUCCAAUCUCUCCUUUUUUCUUUCAAGACAGAAUCAGCCCCAGGUACACAUCUUUCCUUUCUGUUGUUAUUGCAGGCACUGCUUUUACCCCAUUAAAUCUCUACCUUUACCUCUUGCCUGUCUCUUCACUUCAGGCUGUCAGCCAACCAGGGUAUACAAUUGAGAAAAGCAAUACCAUAUACUAGAAAGGGAGAAAAGGAAAAACAAAACAAAACCAAAAAACACACAUAGAAUGUUUUUUCCAAGAUGGAUUCUGCUGGGGCGGGGGGGGGGGAUUUGUCAAAGGAACUGAGAGUGAACUUUAGCUGAGAGCAUUACUUCUGUUAUGUGCCGAGUUGGCCGGGUGAGCAAAACAAAACAGCUCAAGUCCUCUCAUGAUUCCAUGUUUCCCACAUAACUGAGCCACAUAUCACCAUGCCAACUUAGAAUUAAUCUUUUUUAAAGUGACUGCACGCAAUUUAAAACAGCUCAUCACAGUUAGUCAGGGGAGGAUAAGGACAGAGCCUAUUUAGGCACAAAUACUUCCUUCCCUACUCUCCAAAGAAAAUUAUUAAACUUUAUUUUUGUACUCAUUUUCAGCACAAUGUUAUGUUCUUUGGAAAAACAUGGGCAUUAGAGAGCUAUGGUAGGUAUGAGAUAUGCAGUUAUGAGGAGCUAGGAAAGGCAGAUCUCACCAUACCAGAAAACCUGCUGUAUGUUGUUUAGUUCUCUCUCUCUCCAACAAAAAAGAGAGAGAUAGGGAGAUGAGCAGCUGUGUUUAUUUUAAUACAUCUCAUUUAACCCUCACCUAAAAACAAAUGGAAAGGUUUGGGAGUGCAUUAAUCUGGACCCAAUUAGCAUCUCUUUCUCCCUCAAAAGUGCAACCUGAGAUUAAUGAAUAUAAAAUAGAGUUUCAUAUGCAGUCUUUAAGUCAUUUGCAUGUUUUAUGCAUGAUAAUUGAAUUUAUUUAUGCACUUCCUUUCAUUUAAUGAUUUCCUGCUCUUUCCUGUGCUAUCCACAUUGUACUAUCCAAGAAAUAGGAGUUGAUAGGCAAGCAAGGAUAGGAGUAGAUAAAUAAAACCAAGUAAAUUUUUAUGUCUUAUGUCAACUGUAAAUAAAAAUUAAUGGGUUAAUAUAAAAUAUUUUAGUUAAAGUAUAUGCUCUUAGCCUUUUCAGAGACUUUGGAUAUUGCUUAGUAUGCUUGUAAAUGUACAAGCAAAAUUAUUUUCAAAAGGCCAUGAAAGGAAGUUAAAUUAUUGUAUUGACAUUUCUAUGACCCUAGAGACUUGUGUUUCAACUUGGCCAAUUAGUAGUAAUAAGAUAAUCAGAAGAUGAAUAGUAAUUACAUUAAUAACUAAUAGUAUUCAGCCCAGGACCUAGAGAAUCAGUCUGGUUUAGAAUAUAAUAGUACAUUAUAAUUUGUCUUAUUCAGUAUUUGAUCAGUAGAAAUAUGAGCAUUGGAUGCCUAGUAAAUUUAUCAUAGGCAGGAUGUAUAAAUUCUAGAGAUCAGUUUGCCACAUUACUGGCCCUGCGAUUGUGCCUGUAAAGUGACAUAAUGGGGAAAAUUGCUUUUUUCUCCCAUUUAAGGUCAGAUGUCCUAGUGAUUACAUGGUGCUGGUGUCUGAAUUCUCUACAAUGCAAAGUCCAUCCUUGUGAUGGUCAUGCCAGGAAGCUACUUUGGGAAAGGGUUUUUUUUUUAAAGGAUUCUGGUAGUGUUUCUCAUAGUUUUGAUUUGUGCCAGUGCUUCUCUUGUCUCUUGUCUUUCCUUCUGUGUUUAAAGAUGUAUGUGGAAGUGAUCUUUUUCUGUGGUGUCCUGUCUUUUUCAGUGACUUAAUUGGUUGUGUGUUGUGAUUGUUUCCUGAUCUUUGUAGGUAGGAAUGUCUUCAAAGGCUAAAGUUCUGUUAAUUUGUGAUGUAACAAUUUCAGUGUGUUUCUUGUCAUUGAAAUGUAGUUUAAAAUGUUCAGUAAUGUAGCAUGAAAUUAUUGGUUAGUUUUGAAAUGGUUGUGAAAUCAUGUGAAGAAAAUAAGUAUUGCAUCUGAUCAAGAUAAAUUCACUCUAGUGUUUUAUGGCUUUUUAUUCCUAUGUGAUAGUAAUAAAGUCUCAUGUAGGGAUGGAAGCCAUGAAAUACAUUGUGAAAAAUCAUCAACUAAGAUGGGGCCAUGAGUAUAGAAAAUGGUAUAGUUGUAGAGCUACUGAAAAUUGUUGGAAAAUGAUUUAGUAUGUCACUAUGUUGAUUACCAUGUUUGCAUUUUAUUUCUUCAUCCCUCACCCAUGUAGUUUGGCAAGUAAGGAAAUUAGUUUAUAACAGGUUGAUUCACCUUUACAUCAGUGUUAAAUGUUUAAAUUGUUUAUACAUUUUUUUUAUUUUCUACUCAAAAUAACACUGUACAUGAAACACUAAACUAAUUAGUUAAUACUGUAAAAAAACAAGAAAACAAAACAAAAACCCAACUUGUGAAUUUCCAAAUUCACGUUAUUGCUACCUAGAUUAAGAAUGAAACAAACUAAGGUAUCCCAUUAGUCCAUGGUCCAGGUUUUUUUACUCCCACACUCAAUAAUAGACCUGAAUGAUGAGCUAGCAUGUAAAUAAUAAUUAUUUUUCUAUUGACAUGUUUUUCUCAAAGUAUACAUUCUCUUCUUUUCCUCUUCUGGUAAUAAAACAAGGGAUUAUAGCUCUGAGGGCAGAAAAAGCACCUAUGAGAAUGUUCAUAAUAGUGCCAACAUCCCAUAUAUUGCUUUACUUAUCCAAGUUUUGUCAAUCUUUGUAUAUCUUUCUGUCUUGGGUUUCAUUUUGUUUGUGGGACACUUCUGUGAAGUGAGUGAAUGUGAGUCAUUCUUAUAUAACUAAUUUAUUUUUACAGUCUUCUUUCUGUAUUCUUUCUCAAUGCACAUUAAUAAAAAUAUUUUUGUUA